AAGUCCCAGUUCGGAUUGCAGUCUGCAACUCGAGUGCAUGAAGCUGGAAUCGCUAGUAAUCGCGGAUCAGAAUGCCGCGGUGAAUACGUUCCCGGGUCUUGUACACACCGCCCGUCACACCAUGGGAGUCGGGAAUGCCCGAAGCCGGUGGCCCAAUCGUAAAGAAGGGAGCCGUCGAAGGCAGGCCGGAUGACUGGGGUGAAGUCGUAACAAGGUACC
rnacentral:rRNA from 1 species